CGCUGGCGGCACGCCUUAUACAUGCAAGUCGAACGGAGUAGCAAUACUCAGUGGCAGACGGGUGAGUAACAUGUAGGUAUCUUCCCUUUGGUGAGGAAUAACACGAGGAAACUUGUGCUAAUACCUCAUAAGUCUUUACGGAGAAAGCUUUAUGCGCCAUUGGAUGAGCCUGCACUUGAUUAGUUUGUUGGUGGGGUAAUGGCCCACCAAGACUUUGAUCAAUAGCUGAUUUGAGAGGAUGAUCAGCCACAUUGGGACUGAGACACGGCCCAAACUCCUACGGGAGGCAGCAGUAGGGAAUCUUGCACAAUGGAGGAAACUCUGAUGCAGCGAUGCCGCGUGAGUGAAGAAGGCCCUUGGGUUGUAAAGCUCUUUCGUCGGGGAAGAAAAUGACUGUACCCGAAUAAGAAGGUCCGGCUAACUUCGUGCCAGCAGCCGCGGUAAUACGAAGGGACCUAGCGUAGUUCGGAAUUACUGGGCUUAAAGAGUUCGUAGGUGGUUAAAAAAGUUGGUGGUGAAAUCCCAGAGCUUAACUCUGGAACUGCCAUCAAAACUUUUUAGCUAGAGUAUGAUAGAGGAAAGCAGAAUUUCUAGUGUAGAGGUGAAAUUCGUAGAUAUUAGAAAGAAUACCAAUUGCGAAGGCAGCUUUCUGGAUCAUUACUGACACUGAGGAACGAAAGCAUGGGUAGCGAAGAGGAUUAGAUACCCUCGUAGUCCAUGCCGUAAACGAUGUGUGUUAGACGUUGGAAAUUUAUUUUCAGUGUCGCAGCGAAAGCAAUAAACACACCGCCUGGGGAGUACGACCGCA
rnacentral:rRNA from 1 species